rnacentral:rRNA from 1 species
GUCUUUGUGGGUUAUUAUGGGGGGGGGGGGCUAUCUGCAAGUCGUACGCUUCUUUUUCCACCGGAGCUUGCUCCACCGGAAAAAGAAGAGUGGCGAACGGGUGAGUAACACGUGGGUAACCUGCCCAUCAGAAGGGGAUAACACUUGGAAACAGGUGCUAAUACCGUAUAACAAUCGAAACCGCAUGGUUUUGAUUUGAAAGACGCUUUCGGGUGUCGCUGAUGGAUGGACCCGCGGUGCAUUAGCUAGUUGGUGAGGUAACGGCUCACCAAGGCCACGAUGCAUAGCCGACCUGAGAGGGUGAUCGGCCACAUUGGGACUGAGACACGGCCCAAACUCCUACGGGAGGCAGCAGUAGGGAAUCUUCGGCAAUGGACGAAAGUCUGACCGAGCAACGCCGCGUGAGUGAAGAAGGUUUUCGGAUCGUAAAACUCUGUUGUUAGAGAAGAACAAGGAUGAGAGUAACUGUUCAUCCCUUGACGGUAUCUAACCAGAAAGCCACGGCUAACUACGUGCCAGCAGCCGCGGUAAUACGUAGGUGGCAAGCGUUGUCCGGAUUUAUUGGGCGUAAAGCGAGCGCAGGCGGUUUCUUAAGUCUGAUGUGAAAGCCCCCGGCUCAACCGGGGAGGGUCAUUGGAAACUGGGAGACUUGAGUGCAGAAGAGGAGAGUGGAAUUCCAUGUGUAGCGGUGAAAUGCGUAGAUAUAUGGAGGAACACCAGUGGCGAAGGCGGCUCUCUGGUCUGUAACUGACGCUGAGGGCUCGAAAGCGUGGGGGAGCAAACAGGAUUAGAUACCCUGGUAGUCCACGCCGUAAAACGAUGAGUGCUAAGUGUUGGAGGGGUUUCCGCCCUUCAGUGCUGCAGCUAACGGAUUAAGCACUCCGCCUGGGGGAGUACGGACCGCCAGGGUUGGAAACUCAAAGGAAUUGACGGGGGCCCGCCCAAGCGGUGGGAGCAUGUGGUUUAUUUCCUAGCAACGCGAAGAGCCUUACCAGGUCCUGGAAAUCCUUUGGACCCCUCUAGAGAUAAAGCCUUCCGCGCUUCCGGGGGUUAAUGUGACCUGGUGGUGUGCUUGUGGUUUUGUCUUUC